rnacentral:rRNA from 1 species
UACGGGGGGGGCAAGCGGUUGUUCGGAAUUACUGGGCGUAAAGGGCUCGUAGGCGGCCAACUAAGUCAGACGUGAAAUCCCUCGGCUUAACCGGGGAACUGCGUCUGAUACUGGAUGGCUUGAAUCCGGGAGAGGGAUGCGGAAUUCCAGGUGUAGCGGUGAAAUGCGUAGAUAUCAGGAGGAACACGGUGGCGAAGGCGCACAUCUGGCCCGAUACUGACGCUGAGGCGCGAAAGCGUGGGGAGCGAACAGG